ACGUUGAAAUACCAGUUCCCGAGCGAUCACCGAAGUUAAGCAACAUUGAUCCUGGUCAGUACUUAGAUGGAUGAGCGCUUGGGAAUACAAAAUGUUGUAAU